AUUCAGCUGACGAGUACUAAAUAGGACGAAACAUACGUCCUAGAU
rfam:Schistosoma margrebowiei strain Zambia genome assembly, scaffold: SMRZ_contig0001849